GGGAUUGCCCCAGUAACGGCGAGUGAAGCGGCAACAGCUCAAAUUUGAAAUCUGGCUCCCUCGGGGCCCGAGUUGUAAUUUGCAGAGGGUGCUUUGGCGUCGGCGGCGGUCUAAGUUCCUUGGAACAGGACAUCGCAGAGGGUGAGAAUCCCGUAUGUGGUCGCAUGCCUUCGCCGUGUAAAGCCCCUUCGACGAGUCGAGUUGUUUGGGAAUGCAGCUCUAAAUGGGAGGUAAAUUUCUUCUAAAGCUAAAUACCGGCCAGAGACCGAUAGCGCACAAGUAGAGUGAUCGAAAGAUGAAAAGCACUUUGGAAAGAGAGUCAAACAGCACGUGAAAUUGUUGAAAGGGAAGCGCUUGCAGCCAGACUUGCCUGUAGUUGCUCACCCGGGCUCCUGCCCGGGGCACUCUUCUGCAGGCAGGCCAGCAUCAGUUUGGGCGGUCGGAUAAAGGCCUCUGACACGUACUUCCUCUCGGGGAUGACAUAUAGGGGAGGCGCAAUGCGACCAGCCCGGACUGAGGUCCGCGCAUCUGCUAGGAUGCUGGCGUAAUGGCUGUAAGCGGCCCGUCUUGAAACACGGACCAAGGAGUCUAACAUCUAUGCGAGUGUUUGGGUGUCAAGCCCGGGCGCGCAAUGAAAGUGAACGGAGGUGGGAACCCCUCGGGGCGCACCAUCGACCGAUCCUGAUGUCUUCGGAUGGAUUUGAGUAAGAGCAUAGCUGUUGGGACCCGAAAGAUGGUGAACUAUGCUUGAAUAGGGUGAAGCCAGAGGAAACUCUGGUGGAGGCUCGCAGCGGUUCUGACGUGCAAAUCGAUCGUCAAAUUUGGGCAUAGGGGCGAAAGACUAAUCGAACUAUCUAGUA
rnacentral:rRNA from 1 species